AUUGAACGCUGGCGGCAUGCUUUACACAUGCAAGUCGAACGGUAACAGGCCUUCGGGUGCUGACGAGUGGCGAACGGGUGAGUAAUGCAUCGGAACGUACCCAGAUGUGGGGGAUAACGCAGCGAAAGCUGUGCUAAUACCGCAUGUGAUCUGAGGAUGAAAGCGGGGGACCGAGCAGCAAUGUUUGGCCUCGCGCCUUUGGAGCGGCCGAUGUCGGAUUAGCUAGUUGGUGGGGUAAAGGCCUACCAAGGCGACGAUCCGUAGCUGGUCUGAGAGGACGACCAGCCACACUGGGACUGAGACACGGCCCAGACUCCUACGGGAGGCAGCAGUGGGGAAUUUUGGACAAUGGGCGCAAGCCUGAUCCAGCAAUGCCGCGUGCGGGAAGAAGGCCUUCGGGUUGUAAACCGCUUUUGGCAGGAACGAAACGGUGUCCGCUAAUACCGGGCGCUAAUGACGGUACCUGCAGAAUAAGCACCGGCUAACUACGUG
rnacentral:rRNA from 1 species